ACUCAAAUGAAUUGACGGGGGCCCGCACAAGCGGCGGAGCAUGUUGCUUAAUUCGAGGCAACGCGAAGAACCUUACCUGGGCUUGACAUGCACGGAAAAGCCGUAGAGAUACGGUGUCCUUUUGGGCCGUGCACAGGUGGUGCAUGGCUGUCGUCAGCUCGUGUCGUGAGAUGUUGGGUUAAGUCCCGCAACGAGCGCAACCCUUGUCCUAUGUUGCCAGCACGUAAUGGUGGGGACUCGUAGGAGACUGCCGGGGUCAACUCGGAGGAAGGUGGGGACGACGUCAAGUCAUCAUGCCCCUUAUGUCCAGGGCUGCAAACAUGCUACAAUGGCUGGUACAACGGGCAGCAAAGCCGCGAGGCCAAGCGAAUCCCAAAAAGCCAGUCUCAGUUCGGAUUGGAGUCUGCAACUCGACUCCAUGAAGCCGGAGUCGCUAGUAAUCCCGGAUCAGCAACGCCGGGGUGAAUACGUUCCCGGGCCUUGUACACACCGCCCGU
rnacentral:rRNA from 1 species